AGGACGAACGCUGGCGGCGUGCUUAACACAUGCAAGUCGAGCGGAAAGGCCUUUCGGGGUACUCGAGCGGCGAACGGGUGAGUAACACGUGAGUAAUCUGCCCAUCGCUUCAGGAUAGCCAUCGGAAACGGUGAUUAAUACUGGAUAUGACAUUCCUUCGCAUGUUGGGGUGUGGAAAGUUUUUUCGGCGGUGGAUGUGCUCGCGGCCUAUCAGCUUGUUGGUGGGGUAAUGGCCUACCAAGGCUUUGACGGGUAGCCGGCCUGAGAGGGUGACCGGCCACACUGGGACUGAGACACGGCCCAGACUCCUACGGGAGGCAGCAGUGGGGAAUAUUGGACAAUGGGCGGAAGCCUGAUCCAGCAAACGCCGCGGUGAGGGA
rnacentral:rRNA from 1 species